rnacentral:rRNA from 1 species
UACGGAGGGUGCAAGCGUUGUCCGGAUUUAUUGGGUUUAAAGGGUGCGUAGGCGGGCCUGUUAGUCAGUGGUGAAAUACUACGGCUUAACCGUAGAACUGCCAUUGAUACUGCAGGUCUUGAGUACAGUUGAGGUAGGCGGAAUGUGUGGUGUAGCGGUGAAAUGCUUAGAUAUCACACAGAACACCGAUUGCGAAGGCAGCUUACUAAGUUGUAACUGACGCUGAUGCACGAAAGCAUGGGGAGCAAACAGG